UAGCGGCAGGCUAACGCAUGCAAGUCGAGGGGCGAGCGGGAUGUAGCAAUACAUUGCCGGCGACCGGCGGAUGGGUGCGUAACGCGUAUGCAACCUACCUAUACAGGGGAAUAACCUUUCGAAAGGGAGACUAACACCCAUGGUAUUGAUUUAAGGCAUCUUAGAUUAAUUAAAUAUUUAUAGGUAUAAGAUGGGCAUGCGUAUGAUUAGCUAGUUGGUAAGGUAACGGCUUACCAAGGCGACGAUCAUUAGGGGUUCUGAGAGGAAGGUCCCCCACACUGGUACUGAGACACGGACCAGACUCCUACGGGAGGCAGCAGUGAGGAAUAUUGGUCAAUGGGCGCAAGCCUGAACCAGCCAUGCCGCGUGCAGGAAAGACGGCCUUAUGGGUUGUAAACUGCUUUUACAUAAGACUAACCGUAUAUUUGCGAAUAUACCUGAAUGUAUUAUGAGAAUAAGGAUCGGCUAACUCCGUGCCAGCCGCUGC
rnacentral:rRNA from 1 species